rnacentral:ncRNA from 2 species
CAAGAAAUGUAGGGGGAUCGGUGUUGCCGGUUGAGAUUUCAUCCGUAAGAUGAUGACCCUUAGAACCUGAACUGGUUCAGACCAGCGUAGGGAACAUGAUUUUUUUUACA